AUUGAACGCUGGCGGCAUGCCUUACACAUGCAAGUCGAACGGCAGCACGGGAGCAAUCCUGGUGGCGAGUGGCGAACGGGUGAGUAAUAUAUCGGAACGUGCCCAGUCGUGGGGGAUAACGCAGCGAAAGCUGUGCUAAUACCGCAUACGAUCUAUGGAUGAAAGCGGGGGAUCGCAAGACCUCGCGCGAUUGGAGCGGC
rnacentral:rRNA from 1 species